AUCCAGAUGACAAGUCCCAAAUAGGAUUAAAUGCACAUCCUGGAU
rnacentral:hammerhead_ribozyme from 1 species